rnacentral:rRNA from 1 species
GAACGGGUGAGUAAUACAUCGGAACGUUUCCUGGAGUGGGGAAUAGCCCGGCGAAAGCCGGAUUAAUACCGCAUACGCUCUAUGGAGGAAAGCGGGGGAUCUUCGGACCUCGCGCUCAAGGGGCGGCCGAUGGCGGAUUAGCUAGUUGGUAGGGUAAAGGCCUACCAAGGCGACGAUCCGUAGCUGGUCUGAGAGGACGACCAGCCACACUGGGACUGAGACACGGCCCAGACUCCUACGGGAGGCAGCAGUGGGGAAUUUUGGACAAUGGGGGCAACCCUGAUCCAGCAAUGCCGCGUGUGUGAAGAAGGCCUUCGGGUUGUAAAGCACUUUUGUCCGGAAAGAAAUCCUCUGGGUUAAUACCUCGGGGGGAUGACGGUACCGGAAGAAUAAGCACCGCA